rnacentral:rRNA from 1 species
AUGUUCGACGGCCUCAUCAACUCCAAGUUCUACAACCGAUGCAAGCACGCCUUCAAAUGCACCCGGACGCGGCUGGUCGUCAUACGGCGGAAGAAGCAGGCCAUGAUCGGGUUCCUCAAGAAGGACGUCGCCGACCUCCUCAUCAACGGCCUCGACAUCCAUGCCUUCGGACGGAUGGAUGCGCUGAUAAUGGAGAUGAACCAUGCUUCGUGCUACGACAUGAUUGAACAGUGCUGCGAUUUCCUUGGAAAACAACUCAACAGCCUGCAGAAACAGAGGGAUUGCCCCCAGGAAUCCAUGGAGGCCGUGUCAACUCUAAUUUUUGCUACUGCUCGGUUCCCAGACUUGCCUGAACUGUGCGACUUAAGGCAUAUAUUCACAGAAAGAUAUGGCGGUUCCCUUGAGCCUUUUGUUAGCCUGGAGUUUAUCUGGAAACUUGAGUCUGAAUUGUUUACAAACGAGGAAAAGUUUCAAGUAAUGGAAAGUAUUGCUGAAGAAUCCUCAGUUGGUUUUGACAUGAGGGCAUUGGAAAUCAAGUUAUGGGCUGCACGGGAGUCUGAGGAUGAUCUUCUUGAAAAGGAUUCAAUGAACAAGGAUGAACCGGCAGUGCCUUUGCCCAUCAAGCAGAAGGAUGAUGGUCGGUUAAAUGAUAAUACUGGAAGGAAGAAUUAUGAUAAAUCUCAUGGUAAGGAACAAUUGGAGAAAUCAGUUUCUCCUUUGGACUUGAAAAGAGAGAAGGCUCAAAAAGAUGAUAAUACCAGAAGGCGGCAUGCUGACAAAGCUGACGGUAAGGAACAUUUGGAGAAAUCAGUAUCUCCUCUGCAAACGGAAAGAGAGGAAGCUCAAAGGCGAGUUCAGAAACUGAAGAAAAAAGAUCUCCGCCCUUCCGAGAAGGAGCUGAUGGAAGCUGUGGAGCUAGAUAUCAAUGGCCUACCGAAACAAGGUUCUGGUUUGGUGAAAUUUCCUGAGACAGAAAGCAACAGAAUAGUUCCACCAAUUGUGAAGCCAAAAGAAACAAAGAAAGAACUUGGUGUCGAAAAAGAGAAUAACAGGGGGCUUGGCUAUCACCACCGAUCACCCAUACCUGGCCGUCCUGAUUAUACCAGAAGACAUGCAAACUUAGGGUGCAAAGCUCUUGGCCUGCAGAAUCAAGGACCUACUUCACUGAGUCCUACAAGUGGUAAAACUACAAACAGGCCCUCUCCUGUUUCCAAUCCGAAUGGAGCGAAGGGAAGGAAUUGUGAUGAAAAAGAAGAGGGCAACAGUUGCUUGCGUGGCAGACCACAACACUUGGAAGAUCUUGGACACACGGUGCAAAAUGGACAGCGAGCGCCACACAGGGUGGCUAAUGUGCAGCCUCCUUAUGUCAAACCUAAACUUGGCAUGCAGCCUGUGAAGGAUGAUCCUGCAAAACCAAUUGACAGCAACUGCAAUAUGAGUGAAAGGACAGACCGCUUGGUUGACAAAGAUGUGCUUCGGCCUGUUUCUGUUAGAAGGAGGCCAGCAGCACCUGCUUUUGAUGAGGCACCUAACGGUGAAAAGGUCACAAGCCAAAAGGGCAACAGUCACAGGAUACAACCAAGCAAACACAAGGGUGCUACCGAUGGCUAUGACCGGAAGGGCAAUGGUGUUGGUAAUGGCAGGAAUGUUGAGAGAACUCCUAGUGGUCGACCAAGUCACUCAGGCAUGAGAAACGGAGUUCUGUAUGACGAUGACUACGAUGGAUCCAUGCAGCAGCCUAAAGCAGGUGAAGCUGAGGCUAUUGACUUUGGUAAUCUGUUGCCUCGGGCUGCAAACGGUCAUCAUCGACUCAAUAGCAGGAACACUGAUGUGCACGGUGGAGAUCCUGAUGAGGAAGAGAGGAUGAUGGACAAGCUUUUGAUGCAUUAUAGCAAGAAAGGUUCAGGUACAGAUGAAACCAAAACAACAGUAGAAACCAGCAGAACUGCUAACUGUCAUGGAAGAGCAGUCUCGCUACCUCAUGAAUCCGUCAGCCCGGGUGAAGCUGCCAAGGUUCCUGCUCGGUCCACCUCAAUGCGGUCAGACUGUCCUGGGGGUGUGCGCGUGCACCCAAAGAUGCCGGACUUUGAGGAACUGGCUGCCCGGGUCAUGGCCCUGAGGAAUGCUUGA